rnacentral:rRNA from 1 species
ACACGACUACAUUAGAUACCCCUGUAGUCCUAGCCGUAAACGAUACUCGCUAGGUGUCGGCCACGGUGCGACCGUUGUCGGUGCCGUAGGGAAGCCGUGAAGCGAGCCACCUGGGAAGUACGACCGCAAGGCUGAAACUUAAAGGAAUUGGCGGGGGAGCACAACAACGGGUGGAGCUUGCGGUUUAAUUGGAUUCAACGCCGGAAAUCUUACCGGGACCGACAGCAACAUGAAGGCCAAGCUGAAGACUUUGCCGGAUUAGCUG